rnacentral:lncRNA from 1 species
GUGGCAGGCCUCUGAAUUGAUUCCUGGAUAUUUGUAAUUCUUAAGUUAUUUUACCAAUGUGACAUCAUAUCAAUCAUUCAUACAAUUUAAUUUUUCUUCUAAUUUAUGUCUUUGUUUUGCUGCAUUUGACUGGUCAAAUUACAGAUUUUGUUUCAGAGAUCCUUGACUUCAUCAUGCGUACAUAAUGAGGAGACCAAAGAAGAAGUAUCAUGGUGAGGUAUUGUCUACCUGAUUAAUUUUCCUAGGAUCCUGGUGGUCAAGACACACAAACAAGGUAACUCUGGCCAGGCGUGGUGGCUCACGCCUAUAAUUCCAGCACUUUGGGAAGCCGAGACAGGUGGAGCACCUGAGGUCACGAGU